UCUCAGAAUUGAUCCCCCUACCCUGAGCUUAAGCUCCAGUAUUUAUACUGUAUUUACACACUAAAUAGCCCAUAUGUUUCAAGAAGACUAUGAUCUCACUACCAAUAGGGUUAAAAAAAGAGCUCAUUUACCUUACUCUUAUGUUCCAGAAAAGGGCUAUUUCACUUACACAUAGAAUUGAAACCAGGGGUUUUAAUUUACACAUAAAAUCAGAACCCAGGCAUUUCUAAUAACCCAGAAAAUAAAAAUCCAGAGUUUCCAGUUACUCAGAGGAUCAGAAACCAGAGUUUUCAGUUACCCAGGGCAUCAGAAUCUUCAGUUUUGAUUUACCUAAAGAAUAGAAAGUGGAGGAGACUAAACAAUCUAAUGGGACCUUGGUCUUAUUGUUAUCUCGAGGGGGGGGCAGUUUGACCCAGCCACCCUUAUAACUGGCUCUCUUCAUGGUUCUCUUAAAAUUUAGGCCUCCCUUGCGAGACGAGAAUCUUCACCAUCUGAAUCAUGAGUGCCGGUGCCCGUCGUCAGUCCCUUCUCUCUCCGUUACUGGACCUGGAUCUGGAUCUGGAUCUGGACACUCAUUACCAGCUUGUGCAUCUCACUGCUGAUAUCAUGAUGCUACUUAACUAUCUUCGCAGCACCCCCUCUAGGAAUGGAGAUCCGGGGUUCCCCCCUCUUCUUCGAUACAGAAUCUGCCUACAGCAUCUACAGCAAUCUACAGCAAAUAUGCUGUCCGAAAGAACACGUUAACAUCAAGGGCAACAAGUGCUGAGAUUGUGACGCUGAUGAAAAGGUGGCUGCAGCUGGCUUCAGACCGUGGAGGAGGAUGGAAGAGGUGCAACAAACAGUAGCUUGUCCUGACUAGGAACGCAUAAACCAUUGAAA